rnacentral:rRNA from 1 species
AUUGAACGCUGGCGGCAUGCUUUACACAUGCAAGUCGAACGGUAACAGGGAGCUUGCUCCGCUGACGAGUGGCGAACGGGUGAGUAAUGCGUCGGAACGUGCCGAGUAGUGGGGGAUAACGCGUCGAAAGGUGUGCUAAUACCGCAUACGAACUGAGGUUGAAAGUGGGGGACCUUCGGGCCUCACGCUAUUCGAGCGGCCGACGUCUGAUUAGCUAGUUGGUGAGGUAAAGGCUCACCAAGGCGACGAUCAGUAGCGGGUCUGAGAGGAUGUUCCGCAACAGUGGGACUGAGACACGGCCCGAGUUCCUACGGGGGGCAGCAGUGGGGAAUUUUGGACAAUGGGCUGAAGCCAGAUCCGGCCAUGCCGCGUGUCUGAAGAAGGCCUUCGGUUUGUAAAGGACUUUUGUCCGGGAGCAAAUACCCAGUGCUAAUAACGCUGGGGGCUGAGAGUACCGGAAGAAUAAGCACCGGCUAACUACGUGCCAGCAGCCGCCGUAAGAC